UCCCUGCUAGCUCAAAUGGUAAAGAAUUUGCCUGUAAUAUGAAAGAUCCAGGCUCAAUCCCUGGGUAGGGAA
rnacentral:tRNA from 1 species